CGACAACUAACAACAUGACCAUAUAAUACCAUGUUUCGCGGAAAACUAGUCAAAAAUCAACAAUUUUACAUAAUUUUAAAAAUUCAACAUAAAUGGUUUAGAAAAUUUUCGUAAGUGAAAUUUCUAUUAAUUCAGUGUCCAGUAGCAGCAUUUGAUGAUAUAUUUUUAAAAAAAUAUUGGUAUGGCGAUAAGCCCACUAUUUUGGCCUGAAGGUACAAUUUUAUGUCAUGAACACUUAAAUGGAAUUUUCUGCGACAAAUGCUUGAAUUUGUUUUAAAACAGAAUAUUCUAUCAUGUUGGAAACUUAAAAUUGUAUUUAUGUAUUUAAAAUGACCCUGAGAAAUAUCAAAAGCACAUAUCCCGCCUACGAACUUAUCUUCGUUUCGCAUUUUAGUUUUGGUUUGCCAUCGCCAAUAAGAACAAAUAUGCAGACGUUGAAGUUGUGAGUUUAUUUCAUUAUUGCACCAACAUACCUGGGAGAACUGAUGCUGUGACACGGCACCUCACGAUUGUGACCCAGAAGUUCAUGAUUGCGUUCGACAAUGCCCCAAGGAGCGAUGCCAAUACUCACAACUCGUCCAGUGCGCUGCUGACCUUCUAGAAGUAAAGCAUCACCGACUUGUUUGGUUACACCUAAAAGCACAAAACCAAAGGCAGAGAUAUGAAGAUGGAAACUUGCAUACAAAAACAUAAAAAUAGAGUCAAAGCUACAAAUAGUGAUGUUAUGACAUGCAAACAUAUAUGCAGGAGCAGAGUCAAUACAAUGACGAGGAUAAAUUUUACUCCCACACCAACACCACAAAUUGACCAUAAUGGCACGUGUGUUAAACAUGGAUGCCAUAUACGAAACAUGUGUAUCCGUUUCCGUAUUGUCUCUUCGCUUGAUGUUCCUUUCUCGUUUUAAUGCAGUGAAAAUAUAAAAAAAAAAUUUUAAUGUGUGGACACGAAAUAACGCCGAGAACACGUUUUUGCAUUUUAUCCGCAUAAAUAAUGGUCACAGCAAAGAAACUCAUGCGUAAAAUGGUCGGGGAGGGAGGGCGGUAGAGCUAUUUCGUGAUAGCCAAUGAUUGAAAAUAUUAAUGAUCAUUGCGGCCUCACCUGUGUUGGUGCCACCAGUAAAAAUCCAAGCCCCGGUUGUUUUAGCAGCCUUCAGCAGUCCUUUUCGUAUUUCCUGAAAGAGAAAUGAAAAAUUGCAUUUCAUUAAACCACAUUCGAUCACAUCAGCUGGAAUAUUCAUACAUAUGUGCCAUAUGGAAAUGUAUCAUGUAAUCUAAUUGAAUGUGAAAGAAAAUAAAUUUGUACAGAAAUGGCCCAAAUGCAAUCCACAAGGACCCAAAUAAACAGGAAGCAACUGCCGAACAUUUCAAGCAGAUAUCUUCAUUUGAUGGAACGCUAUUAUGAAUAUGUCACAGGGACGGACAUGGCUAGAUGAACUUGGAAUAUCAAGAAGAUAGAGAUUAAAUAUACAAUUUACAGGAUCUCAGAUAAAUAUUUCGAGAUAUUACAAACGGAAUGAGGAGAUAACUAUUUCCUCUCGAUUCCUCAUUUUACGGUGUUGGAUGAAAAAAUGAUACAUUGUAUAUUUUAAUGCAUGUAUGUUUUUGCGCACAAGGAAAACGAACCAUUGAGUUCCAAUAUUCAUGCAAUUUUUUUUCUUUAGGCUUAAAUAUUCUGCUGAUAGGAAACUUUUUUCUUGCCACUUCAAAUGGAAAAACCCAGUGAAAAUAACAAAACGCAUCACAAGUAUAUAAUUGAGAUUUUUUUAAUAUUUUAUUCUUAAUAUGAACUGACCUAAAAACAAA